GCUCCUCUCAUUUCUUAUCUCAUAAGGAUGAAACAGAAUGGGUACUAUGACAGCUGCUGGAUUCUUCAUCUCAUGAAUACCAUCUAAGGACAGUAAACUUGGAUAUGCGUGGAUCCUACCGUGAGAAAGGCGAAAUUGUCAAUAUGAGCAUCAUACUCCUUCUCGUAAAGGACUCGGGAUACUGGCAAUGCACCAUACCCUGUCCCCGAGACUGAAGCCAUCAACCUCAGGACCUCAGAAGCAGGGGAAGGAAGACUGAGAAUAACACCAGAAAAAGGGGUAGAUACUAGGAAGUUUGUGCAUAACAAAUUUAACUGUAUUAUUACUGAGACCUUUUCUGUAAUAGUGAAUUGUUUUCUUUUUCUUUCUUUUUCUGCAAUCAUUAGAUUUGGAAUAAUAAUAAUUCUUUGAUUAGCCUGUUGAUAUUUCAGUUAUACUAACAAUAAAUUCCUGAGUUUACAUGUCA